UGGGGAAUUUUGCGCAAUGCUCGAAAGAGUGACGCAGCGACGCCGCGUGAAUGACGAAGGCCUUCGGGUCGUAAAGUUCUUUCGACAGGGAAGAAAUUGUGUAACAGUAACUGGUUAUAUAUUGACGGUACCUGUAUAAGCAGCCCCGGCUAACUCCGUGCCAGCAGCCGCGGUAAUACGGAGGGGGCGAGCGUUGUUCGGAGUGACUGGGCGUAAAGAGCACGUAGGCGGUGUUGUAAGUCAUUAGUCAAAGACUAGAGCUCAACUUUAGUAAGGCUAGUGAUACUAUAAUACUAGAGUAUCAGAGAGGAUUGCAGAAUUCCUGGUGUAGCGGUGAAAUGCGUAGAUAUCAGGAGGAAUACCAUUAGCGAAGGCGGCGAUCUGGCUGGAAACUGACGCUGAGGUGCGAAAGCGUGGGUAGCAAACAGG
rnacentral:rRNA from 1 species